rnacentral:rRNA from 1 species
AAAGCUCCGGGGAGGCGGCAAAUAUCCUGUGAUCCGGAGAUGUCUGAAUGGGGAAACCCACUUACCAUAAGGUAGGUAUUGCAACAUGAAUACAUAGUGUUGCAAGGCGAACGAGGGGAAGUGAAACAUCUCAGUACCCUUAGGAAAAGAAAUCAAUUGAGAUUCCCUCAGUAGCGGCGAGCGAAAGGGGAAGAGCCCAUUAAGUCAUAUAAGUUCUAGUGGAACGCUCUGGGAAGUGCGACCGUAGACGGUGAUAGUCCUGUACACGAAAGGGCUUAUAUGAUGAUGUCGAGUAGGGCGAGGCACGUGAAACCUUGUCUGAAUAUGGGGGGACCAUCCUCCAAGGCUAAAUACUCCUGACUGACCGAUAGUGAACCAGUACCGUGAGGGAAAGGCGAAAAGAACCCCUGUGAGGGGAGUGAAAUAGAUCCUGAAACCGCAUGCAUACAAGCAGUGGGAGCCGGCUUAGUCCGGUGACUGCGUACCUUUUGUAUAAUGGGUCAGCGACU